rnacentral:rRNA from 1 species
CGGCGGACGGGUGGGUAAUGUAUGGGGAUCUGCCUGAUGGCGGGGGAUAACUACUGGAAACGGUAGCUAAUACCGCAUAACGUCGCAAGACCAAAGAGGGGGACCUUCGGGCCUCUUGCCAUCGGAUGUGCCCAGAUGGGAUUAGCUAGUAGGUGGGGUAACGGCUCACCUAGGCGACGAUCCCUAGCUGGUCUGAGAGGAUGACCAGCCACACUGGAACUGAGACACGGUCCAG